rnacentral:rRNA from 1 species
GGAAUAUUGCACAAUGGGCGACAGCCUGAUGCCGCGACGCCGCGUGAGUGAAGAAGUAUUCCGGUAUGUAAAGCUCUAUCAGCAGGGAAGAAAAUGACGGUACCUGACAAAGAAGCCCCGGCUAACUACGUGCCAGCAGCCGCGGUAAUACGUAGGGGGCAAGCGUUAUCCGGAUUUACUGGGUGUAAAGGGAGCGUAGACGGCGAAGCAAGUCUGAAGUGAAAACCCAGGGCUCAACCCUGGGACUGCUUUGGAAACUGAUUUGCUAGAGUGUCGGAGAGGUAAGUGGAAUUCCUAGUGUAGCGGUGAAAUGCGUAGAUAUUAGGGGGAACACCAGUGGCGAAGGCGGCUUACUGGACGAUAACUGACGUUGAGGCUCGAAAGCGUGGAGAGCAAACA